GGUUUGUAUGCUUGAUUUUGAUCUUGGGAUUGAGAUGUGAGUGAAAGUGAAAAGAAAUGAACCAAAAAGAGUGAGAAAAGGAAAGAAAGCCACUAGGGAUUUAAAAAAAAAAAUGUUCUUAUGUUUAUAAAUAGAAUCCCCUUUAGAAUAAAAGAAAAAAAACAUGAAAAGAGUGGGGGAAAAAAUCUGAGUAAAUAAAAAAAAAAGAAUCCCUAGUUGGCUAAAAUAAGAAAUGGGAAUGUGUUCAUUGGGUGAGAGAUGAAAGUGAGUGUAUCUUUGGGUUUUGGGAUGAUGAAAAGAAGAAGGGUAGAGCUUGAAAUUAUUUAGGAAAUGAGUAGAAUGAUGAGAACAAGU
rnacentral:lncRNA from 1 species